AUAGCGUAUAUUAAAGUUGUUGUGGUUAAAAAGCUCGUAGUUGGAUCUCAGUUCGAGUCAGGUGGUCCACUUGCCAGUGGCUACUGUCCUGACUGAACACUUUACCGAGCUGUCCUAUGGUGCUCUUCACCGAGUGUCAUAGGCGAUCGGUACGUUUACUUUGAAAAAAUUAGAGUGCUCAAAGCAGGCCUAACGCGCCCGAAUAAUGUUGCAUGGAAUAAUGGAAUAGGACCUCGGUUCUAUUUUGUUGGUCUUCGGAAUCUGAGGUAAUGAUCAAUAGGGACAGACGGGGUCAUUCGUAUUGCGGCGCUAGAGGUGAAAUUCUUGGACCGUCGCAAGACGAA
rnacentral:rRNA from 1 species